GACGAACGCUGGCGGCGUGCUUAACACAUGCAAGUCGAGCGGGAUUGAGAUUGGAAAGCUUCGGCCGGAAGAUUUCAAUUCUAGCGGCGGACGGGUGAGUAACGCGUGAGCAAUCUGUCCCACACAGGGGGAUAACAACUGGAAACAGUUGCUAAUACCGCAUAAGACCACGAUGUCGCAUGGCAUUGAGGUAAAAGAUUUAUCGGUGUGGGGUGAGCUCGCGUCUGAUUAGCUAGUUGGUGAGGUAACGGACCACCAAGGCGACGAUCAGUAGCCGACCUGAGAGGGUGAUCGGCCACAUUGGAACUGCGACACGGUCCAGACUCCUACGGGAGGCAGCAGUGGGGAAUAUUGGGCAAUGGGCGCAAGCCUGACCCAGCAACGCCGCGUGAGGGAAGAAGGCUUUCGGGUUGUAAACCUCUGUCCUAAGUGACGAAUAGAUGACGGUAGCUUAGGAGGAAGCCCCGGCUAACUACGUGCCAGCCGCCGCCGUAAUAC
rnacentral:rRNA from 1 species